rnacentral:rRNA from 1 species
UACGGAGGAUCCGAGCGUUAUCCGGAUUUAUUGGGUUUAAAGGGUGCGCAGGCGGGGGAUUAAGUCGGCGGUGAAAUUUUGCAGCUCAACUGUAAAAGUGCCUUCGAAACUGGUUUUCUUGAGUGUGGAUGAAGUAGGCGGAAUUUGUGGUGUAGCGGUGAAAUGCAUAGAUAUCACGAGGAACUCCGAUUGCGAAGGCAGCUUACUAAGCUACUACUGACGCUCAGGCACGAAGGCGUGGGGAUCAAACAGGAUUAGAUACCCCCGUAGUCCCU